AACGAACGCUGGCGGCAUGCCUAACACAUGCAAGUCGAACGAGACCUUCGGGUCUAGUUGCGCACGGGUGCGUAACGCGUGGGAACCUGCCCUUAGGUUCGGAAUAACUCCCCUUAAGGGGUGCUAAUACCGGAUAAUGUCUUCGGACCAAAGAUUUACCGCCUUUGGAUGGGCCCGCGUUGGUUUAGCUAGUUGGUAGGGUAAAAGCCUAUCAAGGCGUCGAUCCAUAGCUGGUCUGAGAGGAUGAUCAGCCACACUGGGGCUGAGACACAGCCCAGAAUCCUACGGGAGGCAGGAGUGGGGAAUAUUGGAAGAUGGGGGAAGGCCUGAUCCAGCAAUGCCGCGUGAGUGAUGAAGGCCUUAGGGUUGUAAAGCUCUUUUACCCGGGAUGAUAAUGACGGUACCGGGAGAAUAAGCACCGGCUAACUCCGUG
rnacentral:rRNA from 1 species